AAAAUAUGCGGUCGUGUCCUAGAUACAACCUCUCACAAUUUUUUCUUCGUCCCUAAACUGUCAUCUCCAACAAAAACAAAUGGAUCAUACAAUUGUAGAUUAUCCGCGAAACAGUCGGGCUAGGCCAUCGCGUAUAACGAAAAUCGCGGAUAAUGCAAUACAAGACUGAAAAUCAAUACAGAAAUUAUUGAACUAUCAAUCUGUAAGGUCGUGUACAUCACUGAUCAGAUAAUGUGAAAGCCAUGACCAAAACAAAAAAGCAAGACUUUACUAUUCACUAACAAGUUUCGGGAAGGUUUAACACUGGAGGAAAACAUUACAACUGUGUGUGUGCAAUCGCCAUUUGUCUAGUGGAAGCGAAACGAUUCGGAGCUUUCAUUUAUAGAAAACAAUAGCAAGGGUUCACGCAGUCGUAAAAACUGCGCUAGCUGAUGAACAAUAUGCGAUUUUCUUAAACAAAUCGUCACAAAAACAAUGAUUCUACAGCAGUACUUGGCGACGAUACCCAGCGAAAAUCAUCACCAUCGCUCAACAACAACAAAAAACCGUGUCCAAGGAUAAUGGGGAGAGUAAGUUUGUGUGGAAAAUUUGCUCCAAGGCGCUUCAUUGCUGGAUCGGUACAUGCUGCCUUCGCUCGGAUAUGGAGCGCCACAUCAAGUAGUAACAUUCCUCAUUCUGGUCGAAGCGCGGAGGACAUCAUUGGAUGCGCAACCAGAUAAUUCGACCGAGGCGGAGGCGUCGGCAAUCAACCAAUCCGCCAAGGGAAAUAGACAAAGGUAAAGAUCCGUCGGCGAAGGCGAUCGAUAGUGGCAAGAAUGAAAAAGACGGGUGGGUAAUGUCGGGGACAUAACCGGAGUGACGUAGGACUAUACAAAGGGGACAGCUUUUGUUAAAUAUAUAUUUUAAAUAUAUUGUUUUAUUUUCUUCUACCUACCUACCUAUUUUUUUUUGAAUACCUACCUAUCUACCUGAAAAAUGGAUUAGUUUACUGUUUACUCUUUAUGAAUAUGUUGAGGGUUGAAAAGAACCUUUGGUGUUGUGUUUUUGUUAUCACUCGAUAUUCCCAUCUUGUUCGGUUAAACCUUCCUGUUUAGC